rnacentral:rRNA from 1 species
CACUCCUACGGGAGGCAGCAGUGGGGAAUUUUGGACAAUGGGCGAAAGCCUGAUCCAGCAAUGCCGCGUGAGUGAAGAAGGCCUUCGGGUUGUAAAGCUCUUUUGUCAGGGAAGAAACGGUGAGAGCUAAUAUCUCUUGCUAAUGACGGUACCUGAAGAAUAAGCACCGGCUAACUACGUGCCAGCAGCCGCGGUAAUACGUAGGGUGCAAGCGUUAAUCGGAAUUACUGGGCGUAAAGCGUGCGCAGGCGGUUUUGUAAGUCUGAUGUGAAAUCCCCGGGCUCAACCUGGGAAUUGCAUUGGAGACUGCAAGGCUAGAAUCUGGCAGAGGGGGGUAGAAUUCCACGUGUAGCAGUGAAAUGCGUAGAUAUGUGGAGGAACACCGAUGGCGAAGGCAGCCCCCUGGGUCAAGAUUGACGCUCAUGCACGAAAGCGUGGGGAGCAAACAGGAUUAGAUACCCGUGUAGUCCCAUGA